rnacentral:rRNA from 1 species
CCUACGGGGGGCAGCAGUGAGGAAUAUUGGUCAAUGGCCGCAGGGCUGAACCAGCCAAGUCGCGUGAGGGAUGACGGUCCUAUGGAUUGUAAACCUCUUUUGUCAGGGAGCAAAGGGCGCCACGUGUGGCGCUUUGCGAGUACCUGAAGAAAAAGCAUCGGCUAACUCCGUGCCAGCAGCCGCGGUAAUACGGAGGAUGCGAGCGUUAUCCGGAUUUAUUGGGUUUAAAGGGUGCGCAGGCGGAAUGUCAAGUCAGCGGUAAAAUUUCGGGGCUCAACCCCGUCGUGCCGUUGAAACUGGCGUUCUUGAGUGAGCGAGAAGUAUGCGGAAGGCGUGGUGUAGCGGUGAAAUGCAUAGAUAUCACGCAGAACUCCGAUUGCGAAGGCAGCAUACCGGCGCUCAACUGACGCUCAUGCACGAAAGCGUGGGUAUCGAACAGGAUUAGAUACCCCAGUAGUC